CCUACGGGAGGCAGCAGUGAGGAAUAUUGGUCAAUGGACGCAAGUCUGAACCAGCCAUGCCGCGUGCAGGAAGACGGCUCUAUGAGAUGUAAACUGCUUUUGUACGAGGGUAAACGCAGAUACGCGUAUCUGUCUGCAAGUAUCGUACGAAUAAGGAUCGGCUAACUCCGUGCCAGCAGCCGCGGUAAUACGGAGGAUUCAAGCGUUAUCCGGAUUUAUUGGGUUUAAAGGGUGCGUAGGCGGUCGGAUAAGUUAGAGGUGAAAUCCCGAGGCUCAACUUCGGAAUUGCCUCUGAUACUGUUCGGCUAGAGCGUAGUUGCGGUAGGCGGAAUGUAUGGUGUAGCGGUGAAAUGCUUAGAGAUCAUACAGAACACCGAUUGCGAAGGCAGCUUACCAAGCUACUUCUGACGUUGAGGCACGAAAGCGUGGGGAGCAAACAGGAUUAGAUACCCCAGUAGUC
rnacentral:rRNA from 1 species